AGCUUAAUUGAAAAGCCGAAAAGGUUGAAAAAAUUGAAUAUUUUAGAAUUUUCAGAGUUAUAAGGUAAUAGGAUGAAAAGAUGCUCAAAGAGCCACCCCCGGUGCCAUAUUAGUCAAAAUCUCUAUUUUGAACGAGUUGCGACAAAUUGGUGUCAAUUUUGUUGAAUUUCUAAAAAUCAUUUUUCAUCAACUUACAUCUUGAUAGUUUUGAAUCAUUAGAUUAUUUU
rnacentral:lncRNA from 1 species